rnacentral:rRNA from 1 species
GUGGUCCUACGGGGGGCAGCAGUGAGGAAUAUUGGUCAAUGGGCGCGAGCCUGAACCAGCCAAGUAGCGUGAAGGAUGACUGCCCUACGGGUUGUAAACUUCUUUUAUAAAGGAAUAAAGUGAGGCACGUGCGCCUUUUUGUAUGUACUUUAUGAAUAAGGAUCGGCUAACUCCGUGCCAGCAGCCGCGGUAAUACGGAGGAUGCGAGCGUUAUCCGGAUUUAUUGGGUUUAAAGGGUGCGUAGGCGGACAGUCAAGUCAGCGGUAAAAAUGCGGUGCUCAACGCCGUACAGCCGUUGAAACUGG